UUAAGAAUUGUAUGUAAAUAACAUAAAACAAUGAAAAAUAAUACAACAUAAAUAAUAAAUAAAUAUAUAGGCCUAUAAUCAUAUAAAAAUGUUAAAAAUAUAUUGGUUUGUGUAGACGGUUUUUGUAGACCAUGUAGUUUAUUUUAUGUUAAUUGCAUUAACGUUACCUUUCUAUAAAGCAACUGUUUGUUUCCUGCUUUAGACAAAUGCUAAAAAUAGUUCACGUUGGAAUUUUCUAAAUCGAUACCGAUGUUGCAGUCUAAAACAUUUUUUAAUCCCCAAAAUAGUGUCAAUAAAAAUGAGGGAUUGACAGAGAUGUGUUCUCUUGAUCGCACCCUGAUUUGUUCACAAGAAUUGAAAGGGAUUUACAGCUUUUAUAUCCUGUCAGGCAGACACAAUCCUCUUCCUGCGCAACACUUUAUUUCCCCAACAUCUGCAUGUGGCCAAAUCUAGCAUUAAAUUAUAUAAAGUCUUUAUAUAAUAUACAAAUCUGCCCCAUUAUUUUUUUAUUUUUUAUUUUUUUCAGAAAGGAUUUCCAACCCUUUUUAAAUUCAAAAAGGCUUUAACAUCCAAUAACAGUUCUCUAUCAUUAUGCAAAAAACCCAGAAAAACAAAUAAGCGUGGGAUGUCAGGCAUAAAAUGUCUGAGUAAUAUUAUUUUUCCAUCUUGGGCCUGGAGGUACAGCAGGCUUCGUCAGCACUGCAGGCCGCAGAGGCUGCAGCAUAUCUAAUAGCACUGAAUCAACAACCCUCCAGCAUCAGGGCUGAGAACGUGUCUGCUGUAACAAUCUGUCUUCUGAAAGACUACUCAAAACUCACAUUUUACACAUACAUUGAAUUUUCUCAGACAAAAAGCCAGUCCAAAAGUACAAAUGUAAAAUCAAACAGAUUCUUUUACAAUCUAAGAUGCAUGGAAACUCAUUAAGUUGUUGCAUAUCGGACAUCUGCAGUCCACUGUCAAUGAAAGACAGCAAUUUCCUCCUCAAUGCAAGUAUGUAUUACAUACUAAAAAUCUAAUAAGAUUACUCAGUGAUACAAAUUGCUAUACUAAGAAACAUCCAUUCUGUAAUGAAAAAGCUGUGCCCCACCCUACGAAAUAAAAUACGUUCAGCUAAUUUAUCUUUCCAUUUAUCAGGCCAAGGUCCCAAUUGGUUCUUUCUCUCAGUCACACACACACACACACACACACACAAACGCACAAAUAUACA
rnacentral:lncRNA from 1 species